rnacentral:rRNA from 1 species
UACGUAGGUGGCAAGCGUUGUCCGGAUUUAUUGGGGUUUAAAAGGGUGCGUAGGCGGCUUUGUAAGUCAGUGGUGAAAUACUCCAGCUUAACUGGAGGGGUGCCAUUGAUACUGCGGAGCUUGAGUACAGAUGAGGUAGGCGGAAUUGACGGUGUAGCGGUGAAAUGCGCAGAUAUCAGGAGGAACACCGGUGGCGAAGGCGGGUCUCUGGGCCGAUACUGACGCUGAGGAGCGAAAGCGUGGGGAGCGAACAGG